rnacentral:rRNA from 1 species
GGUGAACGCUAGCGGCAGGCUUAAUACAUGCAAGUCGAACGGGAUUGAGAAGCUUGCUUUUCAUGAGAGUGGCGCACGGGUGCGUAACACGUAUGCAACCUACCUUGUCCAGGGGGAUAGCCCGUUGAAAGACGGAUUAAGACCGCAUAACAUUGAGCUGUGGCAUCACAAAUCGAUCAAAUAUUUAUAGGGACAAGAUGGGCAUGCGCCUGAUUAGGUAGUUGGCGGGGUAAUGGCCCACCAAGCCGACGAUCAGUAGGGGAUCUGAGAGGAUGACCCCCCACACGGGUACUGAGACACGGACCAGACUCCUACGGGAGGCAGCAGUAAGGAAUAUUGGUCAAUGGGCGAAAGCCUGAACCAGCCAUGCCGCGUGCAGGAAGACGGCCCUACGGGUUGUAAACUGCUUUUAUACGGGAAUAACCCCGGUUUCGUGAAACCGGCUGAAUGUACCGUAAGAAUAAGGAUCGGCUAACUCCGUGCCAGCCGCCGCCGUAA